UCCUCCAUAGCUCAGUUGGCAGAGCUGUGAACUGUAGAUGUUACAAAUAGUGUUCCAUAGGUCGCUUGGUUCAAAUCCGGGUCGGGGGAC